GUAGGGAAUAUUGGGCAAUGGUCGGAAGACUGACCCAGCCAUGCCGCGUGCAGGAAGACGGCCCUCUGGGUUGUAAACUGCUUUUAUCUGGGAAGAAAAAGGCCAUGCGUGGCAAAUUGCCGGUACCAGAUGAAUAAGCACCGGCUAACUCCGUGCCAGCAGCCGCGGUAAUACGGAGGGUGCGAGCGUUGGCCGGAUUUAUGGGGUUUAAAGGGUGCGUAGGCGGCUGAUUAAGUCAGCGGUGAAAGACUUCGGCUUAACCGGAGCAGUGCCGUUGAUACUGGUUGGCUUGAGUGUCGGAGGGGUACAUGGAAUUGAUGGUGUAGCGGUGAAAUGCAUAGAUACCAUCAGGAACACCGAUAGCGAAGGCAUUGUACUGGCCGACAACUGACGCUGAUGCACGAAAGUGUGGGGAUCGAACAGGAUUAGAUACCCGUGUAGUCC
rnacentral:rRNA from 1 species